GGAUAAGCCCUUACGGGGAAAGAUUUAUCGCCGAAAGAUCGGCCCGCGUCUGAUUAGCUAGUUGGUAGGGUAAUGGCCUACCAAGGCGACGAUCAGUAGCUGGUCUGAGAGGAUGAUCAGCCACAUUGGGACUGAGACACGGCCCAAACUCCUACGGGAGGCAGCAGUGGGGAAUAUUGGACAAUGGGGGCAACCCUGAUCCAGCCAUGCCGCGUGAGUGAUGAAGGCCCUAGGGUUGUAAAGCUCUUUUGUGCGGGAAGAUAAUGACGGUACCGCAAGAAUAAGCCCCGGCUAACUUCGUGCCAGCAGCCGCGGUAAUACGAAGGGGGCUAGCGUUGCUCGGAAUCACUGGGCGUAAAGGGUGCGUAGGCGGGUCUUUAAGUCAGGGGUGAAAUCCUGGAGCUCAACUCCAGAACUGCCUUUGAUACUGAAGAUCUUGAGUCCGGGAGAGGUGAGUGGAACUGCGAGUGUAGAGGUGAAAUUCGUAGAUAUUCGCAAGAACACCAGUGGCGAAGGCGGCUCACUGGCCCGGUACUGACGCUGAGGCACGA
rnacentral:rRNA from 1 species